rnacentral:rRNA from 1 species
GGCUGCGGGAAUUCGAUUAGGCAUAACACAUGCAAGUCGUACGAGAGUUUUUAACUCAAGUGGCGGACGGGUGAGUAACACGUAAGAAUUUGCCUUUAGGAGGGGGAUAACAACUGGAAACGGUUGCUAAUACCCCAUAUGCUUUUGAGUGAAAUGGAUUUCCGCCUAAAGAGAAGCUUGCGGCUGAUUAACUUGUUGGUGAGGUAAUGGCUCACCAAGGCGACGAUCAGUAUCUGGUUUGAGAGGAUGAUCAGACACACUGGAACUGAGACACGGUCCAGACUCCUACGGGAGGCAUCAGUGGGGAAUUUUCCGCAAUAGGCGAAAGCCUGUCGGAGCAAUACCGCGUGAGGGAUGUAGGGCUAUGGGUUGUAAACCCCUUUUUUCAGGGAGGAAUCAAUGACG